rnacentral:rRNA from 1 species
GACGAACGCUGGCGGCGUGCUUAACACAUGCAAGUCGAACGGAAAGGCCCUGCUUUUGUGGGGUGCUCGAGUGGCGAACGGGUGAGUAACACGUGAGUAACCUGCCCUUGACUUUGGGAUAACUUCAGGAAACUGGGGCUAAUACCGGAUAGGAGCUCCUGCUGCAUGGUGGGGGUUGGAAAGUUUCGGCGGUUGGGGAUGGACUCGCGGCUUAUCAGCUUGUUGGUGUGGUAGUGGCUUACCAAGGCUUGGACGGGUAGCCGGCCUGAGAGGGUGACCGGCCACAUUGGGACUGAGAUACGGCCCAGACUCCUACGGGAGGCAGCGGUGGGGAAUAUUGCACAGUGGGCGGAAGCCUGAUGCAGCAACGCCGCGUGCGGGAUGACGUCCUUCGGGUUGUGAACCGCAUUCGCCUGUGACGAGGCGUGAGUGACGGUAAUGGGUAAAGAAGCACCGGCUAACUACGUG